AGCGCGGAGCGCCGCCGCGGCGCUGAAGCCGCCGAGGAGACGCGAGGCGCCGUGCGGCGGCGCGUUGUGCCGCGGCGAGGCCAUGGAGCGGCGCGUCCCCGUCCACGCCUUGCCCGAGGAGAUCCGAAAGAUGUCCCGGGAUGAGACAGUAUGUAAGUACUGUGGAGUCAGCUAUUUGAUACUUCAUGAAUUUAAGGUGAUGGAAGAAAAAGUAAAAGCAAUGGAAAAGGAGAUUAAAUUCUAUGAAGGAAGUCUAGAACGGGAAAAAAGACUUCAAGAAGAGUUGCAGACUCUUUGCCAAGACCUUGAACACAGUCGAGCUGACAGUCAGUCAAAAACAGAAAGAAUAAAAAACCUAACAAUGGAACUAAAAAACAAACAAGAUGAAUUAAAAAAUGUGAAAGAAGAUUUGCGAUAUUUCCGAGAAGAAAAGGAAGCUGCAUAUAAGCAGUCACAAGUGCUCAGAAAUACAUUGGAUCACCAUUGCUCAACUCUAAGCAAGGCGCUGUCGUUAUUUCCUUUUAUUAGAAGUGAACUAGACAGUAUUAAAGAGGUUGUGUCUGGUAAUCUAGAAAACUGGGCUGCCCUGAAAGAAGAAAUUUUUCUACAGAUAAAAGCUGUUAGCAAAGAAGCUUUGACAGAAAUAUCCAAACUGAAUCAAAGAUUAGCAAAAUCCCAGAGAGAGAAUGAGUCCCUCCAAGAAAAGGUGAAACAUCUGACUUUGGUGGCUGAUACAGUUGACUUGAAAACACAGCAGCUUCAAACUUCACUUCAGCAAGGGAAUGAGCUACAAAAUAGGUGUCAGGAACUACAAAAGGAAACAUUAGAUUUAACAAAUCAAGUAGAGAUAAUUGGACUCAAGCUUCAGAAAGUAACAGCUGAAAUGGACCACUACAAAAAGCUGCUGAUGAUGAAAUCAGCAGAAGUUGAUGUCUGUCAAAAUGAACUGAAAAAAAUGAAAUACGAAAAUGGAAUUUCUGAAUCAAGACUUACUAAAGAGCUAAAGGAAAAGGAGGAAUCACUAUUAAUCUGCCAGCAAGUAUGCAAACAUUUACACGAAGAAGUGGCUGAGAAAGAGAGGAAAGAAGAAGAUCUAAAAAGAAGAAAUAGUCGAUCAGAAAGUGAAGUAGAAACACUUAAAUCUCUUCUUAGACAAACUGAAGAAGAAGUGGUGAUGUUGAAACAAGAAAGGGAGUUAAUGCUGAUUUCUCAUCAGAACAGAACAGAGCAUCUGCAGGAAACGUUAAGACAGAAGAUGCAAAAUGAAGAUAACUGGAGGGAAAAGAUGGAACUUGACUUGGCUAAAGGAGAAGCGCAGCACAAAGAAGCUAUUCUUAAAGUCAAGGAAGAAGCGAGAAUGGAACUUGACACUGAAAGACAAAAACACCAAGAGUUAAUCACAAAAUAUCAGAGAGAUCAGGAAGAGCUCCAGAAGAAGAUACCUGAAUUAAUAUCCAGUGCCAUCAAUAGCUUAAGGACGGAAGUGGAAAUUCUUGAAAAGAAGCUACAAGAUGCCCAGAUCAAACUUGCAGAGAAAGAUGAAGAUAAGGAAAAAGAUAUUCAGAGCCUCAAAGGUAUAAUUACUGAGCUUGAAUUUCAGCUGAAGAUGGAAAGGAACAAUAAUGAAUCAUUUUUGGAUAAUAUGAGGAAAGAAAUCAAACAGAAGUCAGAUGAACUGGAAAAGUUAACAAAGGAGCGAACACAGCUGAUUCACAAUUUGAGUCAAGUUCAAGAGGAGAACACUCUUCUCCAGGAAACAGUGCGCAGAGAGUGUGAAGAACGCUAUGAGCUGACUGAAGCUUUGACUCAAGCCAGAGAACAAGUACUGGAACUAAAAAAGCUCAGUGGAAACUUCCCGUUAUCACAGUGUUCUCUUACCCAGGGCAGCCUAACCUCAUGUGCUGCUCUGGUCAAUAACUACGGACAGAAGAGCCGCCCAGGCCCCAACUCUGGGAAGGAAAUCAAUCUCUCAGGACAGUUCAGUAUUUCAAGAGCUCCUAAGGCACCCACCUCUAAUAAGCGUAACAGCAAUGGUAAUGUGGGUUUGCCGGUUCUAACCCCACCACCUCCUCCAAGAGGAAGGGCGUCUUCGGUGAACGAAUCCAGAAGCAGAAUUGCUGCAGUUAUAAGAAGACAGUUGAGUCAGCUCUGAUAGCUAAAAAUGCCAAGGACAGUGCAUUAGCCUGUGUGUAGAGCACUCGGAAAUCAUUUCAGUGCAUUAAAUGGCCAUUUACUUGUGGAGCCUUGGGGCCAAAUCUUAAAAAAUGUGAUUCAUGCAGUUCUACAACUUUAAGUUAAAUUUGUGUAACGUGCACUGUUGAUGCAAUAAUAUUUCUUUAUCCAUGGCAUACCGAUGUGAUUAAAUACUAUCUUCAUUUCAAGAUGAGGAAAGUAGAAAAGUAUUACUUCUCCAAGAGGAGCACAUCUUCAAUAGGGAAGAUCCUAGCUUCUUUGAGCUUGAAAAACAUUAUUCCAUUACCACCUGCAGUCUUCAUGUGACAAAGUAAUAGAAGUUCAUUAAGGCAGUUCUAAAAAUGCUGUCUCUCUUUGAAUGUAAAGCCUUCGUUGAGAGAGGAAACAUACCUGUAUGUGAAUCAUGGGAAGGUACAGGGCACUAUCCAAAGCCAAAGUGGGAAAAGGAGAACAGAGCCGUCACAGAGUUUCUGUCAUGAGAAGCAACGGAAGAGUGCCUCCAAUUUUUGUGUGUGCUUUCUAAAUGCUUGCUUUAAGGUGUUAGCCCAAGUAACUGUUUUGCAUUCACUGGGGACAAUUCCCCAACUUCAGCCUGGCUUUUACCCACCCCAUGUCCGUACAAUAGGUGCAAAUGAGGUAAAUUUGAAGAUGGAGCUUGGAGAAGUGACUAGGGCUUCAAGGCCUUACGCAAACAGGGUGUAUUUGCAGUGAUGCUUGGCUUCCAGUUGAAACAAGCCAGCAAUUAUUAGGCAACUGCAAUAUAGGGACUGCCCUCUUACAGCUAAAAGCAUGCAUCUCAGGAGAUAACACUGGCCGGGAUGGACAUGGCCAGUGUGCUGAAGAGGAGGAUAGCUUUGAACAAGGGACUGUCCUGCAGGACAGUAGGACAGUAACGCUGUUGGGGACAGUUCUUGGCUCUUCUCAAACUGUCCCAUAGUUAUUUCUCCAAAGGAACUUGUUGGUUCACUCUGAAAGACAGAAACUAAAAGGAAAGACUGAUAAACUUACUGUGUGCAGCCUGGACGAUCAGGAGAUUGGGACCCAGGGGAGGUCAGGGAGCAAAGUUCUUUGGCAGCAUUAGAAGUACCUGCUAUGUCCAGGUACUUCAUGGACUAGCUUGGAAAAGCCAAACCUAACUCAGAGUUCAUGACAGUCAGAGCCCCUGGUACAUACAGUGAGGGCCAAGCAUGUUAUUUCAAGCAUGAGGAGUCACUAAUGCAAAGAGAUGGCUGUAUCUCAGCAUCUUAGUAUCUUAUUGAAAAUAUGUGAAGCUAGAAACUGGAGCCAGACAAAAUGCCAUAUAUAUUAAAAUAAAUUAAUCAGAAGAAAAGAUAGACUUUCUUUUCAUUUGAAGAAACAGUUGUGCUGUGAGAUAUGCUGCUGUUUAAAUUUUUGAUUUGACUCAGCAUUUUAUAAUUGGU